UUGAUAAUAAGCUUAUAGUAUCAGCCUCGUGUAUUUUCAGGGUGGUCUUCACUGGAUUCCAACAUCACCACAGUCUGCCUAACUAGUCAGAAGUACGGGGGAUGCUGGAAACCAUUGAGAGUUCUCCUGAUAUGGCAGCCGAUAUGGCUGGAGGGUGCUGUUCUCUCAGGGCAUCUUUGUCCUGACUGGUGUCUUCAGUUCAUUUUUAUCUGGCUUUAAAUAAAGACCAGAGACUGGACAGGGAGUUGCUGGCACAGCCGCGCUCUGGCCAGUUGAGUGCUCCCUGACCAGCUUGCUCCAGCAGCUGAAAGGUCAGAAGUUAAACAUGAUGAAGAGGGUCCGGUUCCUGGUUUCGCAGAGUCCAGCCAUCGUGGCCUGUUCCCCUGCGGGGUUUGGGGCCAGCCCCAGGGUGUUUGGAAGAGCAAGUUAUGGGAGGAAGGACGUCAGCAGCCUGGCUCUCUUUAGGGCAGCCUCAGGUCCAGGCCGGGAAUAUGUUGAAGUUGCUGAGAGAAGUUGGGAACAGCAGCGUGCCAAUGGCUGGCAGGAAGUUGUCGAGCGCUCAUGUUACAGGCACCGACGAGGGACUGUCUGCAGGUAUCGGGGCGUGCAGCUCAGCUCUCACUUGAGGCUGCCACCUCAUCACUGCUGUCGUGACCCAACACUUGGGCGUUGUGAGGCUGACCACAAAAAUAUUAACGCCAGGGUCACGGUUCGGAUCCCAUCGCAGCCAGUCACCAAAGAAAAAUUAGCAUGCCCCACCUACUUCCUCCUGAACAUUUUCUCCUGAGAUUGCCUAAAGAGAAAAUAACCCACUCAUUAAAUACAAAAAUACAUUUAAAAAAAUAA